rnacentral:rRNA from 1 species
GGCCUAGUGCCUAUAAACUAUAUACAACUUUCAGCAACGGAUCUCUUGGCUCUCGCAUCGAUGAAGAACGCAGCGAAAUGCGAUAAGUAAUGUGAAUUGCAGAAUUCAGUGAAUCAUCGAAUCUNNNAACGCACCUUGCGCCUCUUGGUAUUCCGAGAGGCAUGCCUGUUUGAGUGUCAUUAAAUUCUCAACCUUACUAGCUUUUGCGAGCUUUGUAAUGGCUUGGAUUUGGGGGUAUUUUGCCGGUUUCGAAAAGGAAUCUGCUCCCCUUAAAUGUAUUAGCUUGGUGCCCCGCGUGGACCAUCUAUUGGUGUGAUAAUUAUCUACGCCGUUGGAUGUCUGCUAUUAAAUGG